GGCGGAGGAGGGCCGGCGGACGACAACCGGUGGCCGCCGUGGCUUCGUCCCCUGCUGUCGACGAGGUUCUUCGUCCCGUGCAAGCUCCACGCCGACUCCCACAAGAGCGAGUGCAACAUGUAUUGUCUCGACUGCACCGGGGGCGCCUUGUGCUCGCUCUGCCUCAACCAUCACCGCGAUCACCGCACCAUCCAGGUCCGCCUCUCUUCUUCCUUUCUUACGCUCUUCCCUUUGCAUCCGUUGGCCGGCAUAGCCCUCGCCAUUCCUUGUCCCGCCAUAUGAAUGGCGGCUUCUUGAUGGAGGAUAGAUGGAUGGAUGGGUUCCGCUGUUCCUUCCCUUCCGCCGAUAAAGGCAGCACCUUCGGUAGCGGUUCCGUGUUUAUUCCACCCAAAGAAAUCCCCACCUUCUCUACAUCCAUCGCUGGCACUGCUUCAUCCCGAGGCAGCGCAUUCUACCUCGGAUUAAUCUCUGUUGGUUGUUGAUGCAGAUUCGGCGCUCGUCCUACCAUGACGUGAUCAGGGUGUCGGAGAUCCAGAAGGUACUAGACAUCACCGGCGUGCAGACGUACAUCAUCAAUAGCGCCCGUGUGGUGUUCCUGAACGAGCGCCCCCAGCCGAGGCCAGGCAAGGGCGUCACCAACACCUGCGAGGUCUG
rnacentral:lncRNA from 1 species